UUCAUUUCUAAGAAGUAAAACCCAAUCCAUUGAGUUGAACUUUGAUUGAAGCAUAAAUCUUGAUCUACUCAUUCAGUUUUAUACAUUUUUAUAGAUCUAGAUAUUUUGUUCACGUUAGUGUUUGAUGACAGAAUACAUGAAAGAUGUGUAUAAUGUUCAUCUGGAUUGUUUUAGCAUUUUGUUGGCGAGUCCAAGGAAGGACAAAUACUGGCAAGUCAUACAUAGUUAUGGUCCCUGCGUUCACCUCUAACUACAACAACGAAACCAGUUUUCCAAGACUUCUGUUUUACUUAUACACCAUGACAGAACAUAUGACUGAGGUGAAGAUAACCACAGAAGGAAUGGUGAAUGUGGAGAGAUACCACCACAUCUUCAUCUUCCACAACAUGGAGUGCUGGAUACCAGAAAUCUAUCAACACAAGGCCAUGAUUGGACUCAAGGGCAUCUUCAAGUUUGAGGGCAAUGACGUGUUCGGAAUGAACGUCUUCUCCUCUAAUGACGUCCACUCUGCCAGCAUGAUAUCUUUAAUCCCUACGGACAAAUGGGGAACUAAAUACAUCGUCUUCACAUUGAAGAACAACCCGUCUGUUCACGUGGUAACAAAGUAUGGACCCAAUACUAUCACUUUUACCAUUCCAAGUGACAGCAAUGUGGAACUGCAGGCCAAUGGCGUGACCUAUGAACUUGGACAAGCGAAUUCUGUAGAGCUAAAAGGGGGUUCAAGUCUAGAAAUAUCAAAUUGUCAAUCUCCAGGCAGUUUGACUGGUACAGUAAUAGAGAGCAGCUUAUCAUUUGGUGUCAUUGCCGGCAACUGUGAGACAUCAGCAGGCACCUUUGAGUGUGGCAGCACGAAUGAUGUUGAGAGUUCUUCUACUGACAGCGCUGCAGAGAUGCUGCUAUCGUUGGAGUACUGGGGUAGAGAGUUCAUCACUCUGACUCUACCGACUAGACAAUCCAAAGGUUACGUUGUGGUGACGGCAGGAGAGGACGACACCAAAGUCUUUGUGGCCCAAGUGAAAAGCAGCGACAAUGUUGAACUUAGUUUGGAACAGCGAGGCCAGACUCUGCAAAUUAAUGACACUAGAGAUCCCUUCUUAUUGAGCAGCAACAAGGCUGUGUCAGUUUUCUACGUCCAGCGGUCAGCGUGUACCUCGUCCGGCAAUGAUGAGUCUGCAGAACUCGGGGACACGAGCGUGACCAUGCUCAUCCCUUGCCAGCUGUUCUACUACUCUUUCUCCUGGCAGUCUCCAAGUUUGAUCACGACAAUGAAACAUUACAUGGCCGUUGUGAUCCCUUAUAAACAAGCGUCACAUCUUGCCUUGGAUGGACAUGAUGUUCCCUUAAAAGGAUAUUGGACUCCGGUUGUUGGUAAACCAGAAUGGUACGUGGGUCAUUUGCACAUUAAGGAAGGGUACCAUCAACUGACCAUACGCAUCAGCCUAUAUUUUAUGUGCUACAUUUAUGGACUUGGUAAGAAGUUGUCCUACAUGAGUCCAACAAACUAUCUGAUGGAGCCUAUCAACGCGCCGUGUACACAUUUAGCUGCGACCAUGGUACCUGGUGAUUUCUGGGACAAUGACUGUGACCAUCGCACAGACGAGGAGUAUCCUGACGGACUUGACAAUGACAACGAUGGAGCUGUCGAUGAAGACAUUGUUAACGUGAACAUCGCACGUACAGCAACGGGCAAGUUGUAUCUGUUUAUGUUUCCCGGCGUGACAGAUCAUUACAGCGAGGCCUGGCCUACCAUACUUCUCUUCUUCUUCACCUUUCACAAAGCCGGCGUUCAGGUCAGGCUGACCACUGAUCAUUUGAAGAGUCUAAAGGAAGUUUUCAACCUGAAAGAAGGUCAACUGUUCAAGUAUUCCCUUUCUCGAGACGUUAUGAAUGAGAAGAAAUCGGGUGUGAAAGGAACUUUCCGAGCAGAGAGUGAAGAAGGACAAUUUUGUCUCAGCGUUUUGAUAGCUGAAUGGAGGUCCUCCAUAGACACACUGACUCUGAUAGCCGUUGAGUCCUGGGGAACAAAAUAUUUCGUCGUGACUCUGGGGACAACACCCUCCGUCCAUCUCAUUGCUCACGUGGCCACAAAAAUCUUCUUUUACUUCCGCCAUGACCAGAAAUCCUGGUUUGAAUUCGAUUAUGGGACUUCGAUCUAUGACAUGGGAGAGCACGUCAGAAUUGAACUCGCCAGUUUCCAAUCAUUUGAGAUCUCCGAAUGUGAAGGUCGAUUCGCCAAAGGAAGGCUGACAGGCUCAAUGGUCGAGGGAGAUAAUCCUUUCGGUGUGAUCUCUGGCAGCUGUAGAGCAGUGUCUCCCGCCAGUACGUGCAGGGCAGACACGGAGCAUGUUGACGACGAUACUCGAGAUCUUUCAGCAGAAAUGUUGCUUCCGGUUAGGAGUUACGGGAAAGAGUUCAUUACCUUGACCUUCCCUGAUGUGAAGAACCAGAGUUAUCUUGUGGUGGUUGCUUCAGCUGAUAACACAGUGAUCACCUUAGCAGGAGAUGAUACACACAGCUUACAACUACAAGAAUAUACAUUGAAUUAUCUUGGGGAUUACAUUGUGUUGAAUUUGCCUGGCAUGUCGAGAGUGCUGACCAGUUCAAAGGCUGUCCAGGUCAUGCACGUCCUACGGUCCAACUGUGAUGUAUUGGGGACAAAUCGCAUCGGGUUGAACGGCGAUCCCAGCAUAGGGAUACUGAUCCCUUCGGCGUUAUUUUAUUAUAAGUACACCUGGAGUACGUACAGUCGUCAUAUUGAGGCCAAUCACAAACUUGUCACUGUGAGUAAAACACAAUUUCUAGACAGCCUUAAACUAGACAACUACUUGCUGCACAUUGAUGGGCGAGUGGCGAUUGCGGGUACAGAUUUAUGGGAGGUGAUCUACUCCAAGUUGCACUACGAAGAACGUCACAUUAUGGUGUCUACUAAGUUCAUCAACUUUGGGGUCUACGUCUACGGAGUGACCAACGAGAUGUCCUACAUCAACCCUGUCAACUUUGUUAUCACCAACAUCAACAUGCCUUGUGUGUCCACUCUUGAUGAGAUGUUGAUGAAAGACGAGAUAGAUAAUGACUGCGAUGGAAAAAUAGAUGAAGAAAUGAAAGACAACAUAGAUAAUGAUGGUGAUGACAAAAUCGAUGAGGAUUUAAAUGACAAUGAACCAGAGACGGCCAACGUUGUGACUUCUUCACCUAUAUCUGAAAAGACUACAAUGUUAGUGACAACAGUAGGAACAACUAGACCGUUUCAAGUAUUGACCAUGCCAGCAGUGACAACCAUGAAUGCAACCACACCAGCAGAGGAAGUUGAAGAAGUCACUUGGCACUGGAGUGAGUGGGUGUGUUCUCGUAAGUGUGACGUAUCAGAUCUGGUCAGAAAGAGAAUGUGUUUGUCCAAUGAACCAACCUCUGAUGCUGUGGAGUGCCCUGGAUCAGUUUCCGAACUCACUCCAGGCACUUGUUAUCUCAAUGUGAAAUGUCCAGCAGAUUGCCCUACCUUCCAGUGGGAUGUGAACUGUAAAAUGUCAUGUGCCAACUGUUUGACGGACUGUGACAAAUUUAACGGAACUUGUACAAGAUGCCAGGCUGGCUACAAAACACCAGAAGAGGCGUGUUACAAAGAAUGUGACGAAAAUGAAUUUGGUGAAAAUUGUGAAGGUAAUUGUGUAACAAAAUGUGGAGCCGAUUGUGUGAACCGUGUAACUGGAGAAUGUAGUGGUGGCUGCUCCAAGCAGAUCUCAAUACCAUUCCUUUUGCUCAUCAUUGUUUCGUGUGUUCCUCACACUUUUGUGUAGGGAGCAAACCCGCAAUGUGUUGAUCAAAUCUCAACAUUUUAAAGAAUGAAUGUUGAGCUGAAACACUGGAGUCUUUGUGUCAGUGUGUGCGCAUAAUAAGGAGAAGCACUCUUGAAACAAAUAGUCGUUAUAUAAAAGUGGUGAAAAGUGCAGAGUUGGACAUGGUCAUGUAGACCCAGCAGUAACCUAAUACUUCGCC